AUCUGUCCAUCAGCCCAGGUGUCCGUCUGUCUGCCAGCCCAGGUGUCCAGGUGUCCAUCUGUCUGUCUGUCCAUCAAUCCAGGUGUGCAGGUGUGCAUCAGCCCAGGUGUGCAUCAGCCCAUGUGUCCAUCUGUCCAUCAGCCCAGGUGUGCAUUGACCCGUCUGACCAUCUGUCCAGGUGUCCAUCAGCCCAGGUGUCCGUCUGUCCAUCAGCCCAGGUGUGCACCAGCCCAGGUGUCCGUCUGUCCAUCUGUCCAUCGGUCGGGACACCCUGGGCUCACUGUCACGGCCUGGCCACUCCACGCUGGGCUGGGCUGGGCCAUUUUGGGCCAUUUUGGGCCAUUUUGG